UACAGAGGGUGCGAGCGUUAAUCGGAAUUACUGGGCGUAAAGCGUGCGCAGGCGGUUCGCUGUGUCCUGUGUGAAAGCCCCGGGCUUAACCUGGGAAUGGCAUGGGAACUGGCGGGCUGGAGUGUGGCAGAGGGGGGUGGAAUUCCGCGGUGUAGCAGUGAAAUGCGUAGAGAUGCGGAGGAACACCGAUGGCGAAGGCAGCCCCCUGGGCUAACACUGACGCUCAGGCACGAAAAGCGUGGGGGAGCAAACAGG
rnacentral:rRNA from 1 species